rnacentral:misc_RNA from 1 species
GUGAACGCCCUCACGGGCUUAUACUAUUCCAAACCUCUGUGAACCGUGCCCUUCGGGGCUAGUUUUGCAAACAUGGUGUAAUGAACGUCAUAUAUCAUAACAAAACA